rnacentral:tRNA from 1 species
AGGCACGUAGCUCAGUUGGUUAGAGCAUCACCUUGACAUGGUGGGGGUCGGUGGUUCGAAUCCACUCGUGCCUACCA